rnacentral:lncRNA from 1 species
GGAAUACGAAGGGAGAAUGAAACAAAACUGCUCCGCUUAGGGAACUUGGAAAGGAAAUUGAAAAGGCAAGGCACAGGCUGGAAGAAAAUAUUUGAAAAAGAUUUAUGUGAACUUCUUUCUGGAUUAUACAAAAUAUUUUUAGAUAUUCUUACAACUCUAAAAUAAGAUAACUCCUUAAAAAUCUAAAUUCUACCAAAGGAGAGAUAAAGAUGACGAAUACAUUCAAAGAUGCUGAAAAUCACUUAUUUAUUAUUAGGAAGUUACAAGCUAAAGCAUAAUGAGAUACCACUACAACCUACUAAACUGACUAAAAUUAAUCAGACUAACCAGGUGUUGGCAAGAAACAGGGACACUGAGACUCUCACACUGCUGGAAGGAAUGUAAAAUGCUAAAACUUCUUUGGAAAUGAGUUCAGUAACUUUUUAAACAGUUGAAAAUAGACCUAUCAUGCAAACCAGCAAUCCCACUUCCAGGUAUUUAUACAAGGAAAAUGACAACAUAUGCCCACAUAAAGACUUGUGCACAAAUGACCGUAGCAGCUUUGUGAUAAUUGCUAAAAACUAGAAACUUGUCAAGUGUCCAACAGUCUACAUGAGUCUCUUUGACACAAGUCUCUGGUACAGAUGAAGACCAGAGAGCUUGGGAGUCACUGCUGAAGAGAAGAGUGAAUGAGUAAACAAAGGUAGAUGAGGCAAAGAACAUACCGAAUGUCAGGAUUCAGAUGGGACUGCUGUAUGAUAUUAAUGAACACAGAUAUCUGGAGAAACCAUGUCAAAGCUUUCCAAGAGAGACUGUGAACAGUACCUGGGGAACACCAAAAA